rnacentral:rRNA from 1 species
UGGGGAAUUUUGGACAAUGGGCGAAAGCCUGAUCCAGCAAUGCCGCGUGUGUGAAGAAGGCCUUAGGGUUGUAAAGCACUUUUGUCCGGAAAGAAAUCCUUGGCUCUAAUACAGUCGGGGGAUGACGGUACCGGAAGAAUAAGCACCGGCUAACUACGUGCCAGCAGCCGCGGUAAUACGUAGGGUGCAAGCGUUAAUCGGAAUUACUGGGCGUAAAGCGUGCGCAGGCGGUUUGCUAAGACCGAUGUGAAAUCCCCGGGCUCAACCUGGGAACUGCAUUGGUGACUGGCAGGCUAGAGUAUGGCAGAGGGGGGUAGAAUUCCACGUGUAGCAGUGAAAUGCGUAGAGAUGUGGAGGAAUACCGAUGGCGAAGGCAGCCCCCUGGGCCAAUACUGACGCUCAUGCACGAAAGCGUGGGGAGCAAACAGGAUUAGAUACCCUGGUAGUCCACGCCCUAAAACGAUGUCAACUAGUUGUUGGGGAUUCAUUUCCUUAGUAACGUAGCUAACGCGUGAAGUUGACCGCCUGGGGAGUACGGUCGCAAGAUUAAAACUCAAAUGAAUUGACGGGGUCAUAGCUGUUUCCU